UACGAAGGGGGCUAGCGUUGUUCGGAAUCACUGGGCGUAAAGCGCACGCAGGCGGAUUGAUAAGUCAGGGGUGAAAUCCCGGAGCUCAACUUCGGAAUUGCCUUUGAUACUGUCUGUCUUGAGUUCGGAAGAGGGUCGUGGAAUUCCCAGUGUAGAGGUGAAAUUCGUAGAUAUUGGGAAGAACACCGGUGGCGAAGGCGGCGACCUGGUCCGAUACUGACGCUGAGGCGCGAAAGCGUGGGGAGCAAACAGG
rnacentral:rRNA from 1 species